rnacentral:lncRNA from 1 species
GAAAAUGAAAACUAAAGGCUUUAAUUACCAAAUUUUGCAAGUUUGAAUCCCAAAGUAUGUCUCGGCUUGUAUGGAGAAGAUUGAAUUGGUGCUGUUAUGUAUGGGUUACGAAAAUGGUAUAUAAGGAUAAAAUUGUUUCUGUCAGUAGGAAUCAAAGGAUCUUGUGUCAGCAAGAACAAGAAACUGAGAGCUGGACUUGGAGCUGAAUAUAUAUUGGGAGAUGGUGUGAUUCUUCUAUGUCCAUGAUUUGGUGCUGCUGUUGAACUAUUUUUUGUGGUUCUUAGUGCUGGUUUUUCUAUUGGUUUUUCUGGUAUUUGCGAUUAACGGUUGAUGAUUUGGGGUUGUUUUGGAACUACCCUUUUGGCUCCUACCGCUGACUUUUAAUGGUAUUUAUGCUUUGCUGAUUUUGUUGAUGGAGGAACGUGUUGGUUGCUGCUCUGGUUUGGUGUUGAGGUGAUUCUCAAGGUUGUAGAAGUACUAGUACAAUCAUAGCAAGACAAAAACAUAGUUGGUCAAUUUUGGAAAUGAACAAAAAUGGUAAAUCACAUACCCUUUCUUUUUCUCCUCCACAUGCAAUACACACAGGAGAGAAGGAGGACAACUGAAACUAUAAAAGCUACCAGAAUUGCAGCCAGCCUCUUUUUAUCAAGGAAUCCUCUGCUUUUUUUGUAGUAAUUGG